ensembl:lincRNA Gm11377 predicted gene 11377
ACUUUAAGAACAAGCUGUAACCGAGCCUUUUGAUCACAUCUAGUCUAUAAUCCAACUAAUAUAUCCUGUGCUGGUUGCUUCUGAUAGCCAGUUUCUAACUGCUGGGGAAAGGAGUGGACAUUUGACCGUUGUUUCCAAAGCUGGAUGUCCCCAGGAUAUCAAGGAGUGACCAGCAAGACUCAAACAUCAAACUGCCCCAACUGGAGGACGGCAGGUCCCAGAAGCCAGGAGUGGAUAAAGCACGAGUGAAAAUUCUACAGCAUGGCAGCUCUGCACCGGGCCAGAGCACUGUGGGCACCUGGGAGUUCUGUUCAGGGUGCUCAGAGACUCAGAGAUUGAAGGGGACAGAACCAGAAGCAACCAGGAGAGGCUGUCACAUGAGCUAGGUGAGUCAGAAUGAUCUGAAUCAACACGGCACCGUGGGGAUGAAAAGGAGGCAGGUUUCGACAAGCGAUGGAGGUGCAUCCCCGAGACGGGAGAUGACUGGACGUGGGGGUUAUGAAAAGGACACUGGUGGACAGAGGGAGCCAUUCACACAGUCAAGGUGCCAAGCAGCUGACUGUGUGUGUGUGUGUGUGUGUGUGUGUGUGUGUGUGCACGUGCAUGUGCAUAUAUACAUACAUGGGCACUUUUUCAAGCACCAUUAUGGCAUGCAUUAAUAAAGGACGGCCAUAUGAAAUCA